GACAGAGGUGCCAAGCGUUAGGCGGAAUCACUGGGCUUAAAGCGUGUGUAGGUGGAACGUUAAGUGCCUUGUGAAAUCCCGCGGCUCAACCGCGGAACUGCUGGGCAUACUGGCGUUCUUGAGCCAAUCAGGGGUCGCCGGAACAAACGGUGGAGCGGUGAAAUGCGUAGAUAUCGUUUGGAACGCCGAAGGCGAAAGCAGGCGACUGGGAUUGUGCUGACACUGAGACACGAAAGCCAGGGGAGCGAACGGG
rnacentral:rRNA from 1 species